AAUGUCAGGGUCAUGGAGGAAAUGUCAGGGUCAAAAUCUCUGAGCUAAGAGAGUUAUGUGUGUUCAAGGAAUUGGAAUCAGUGUGUCUGGAUCAUCCUGAGCAAAGCAAAGAGUAAUCUGACAUGAGGGCGGAAAGGAAAGAAGGGUCAGAUCAUCCACAUCACCAGAAUGUCACAUUCCAGAUAGAAGUUGCUCCUACAGUCUGGAGGUCUAACUGAGAAGACAGAACAGAGCCACCACUGGAGAAGAACUCUACUGGACCAAAACCUUCAUGUAAUUGCAAGCCCUGGAGGAGAGGGAGGGGCACACUGGUGAGGAUAAAUGUGCCGGCCAAGACUCGGAUGUCCUCUGCACAACCUACAGAUGCCUCAGUGACUAAUCUUCAUCUGCAGAUAAUUCAGAAACAGGGCAGAUCCCUCGGAUUUGAAAAUGGGAACUAAACCUCAUCCAUCUUCUCCUGAUGGCUAAACAGGCUAUUAUUAGCAGGCCAGAUGAUUUAAUAGGCCGGGGAUGGAAAGGCACAUGUUGAUAAUUAAACACGCCAGAGUUCCAUUCCAAAGCAAGUGUCCUUUAAUAACAUGACUAAGGGUUGUUUGCUUUUUAAACCCUUCUCUCCCACUUCCAAGACUCUGGAAUGUGUUCAGGCAUCGACGUAAACAUUUCUGAUGGAUAGAAAUGAUGUGUGUCAAACCAAGGCUCAGUUGUUUGGGCAACAUGUUACAUGGGAUUGCUUGUCCUGAGUCAGCUUUAUAAAUUUGUACAUCCAUGAAUUCUAAAAAGAAACUGAUCCACUCCUUCAGCAAAUAAGAAUUGGGGUCUAAUAGAUUGUGGUAGAGUGAUAGCACCGCGUUUCACUGCUACCUCUGCCUGGGGGCUAUUUGACCUUGAGCAAGACAGAGCAAUUUUGGUGACUUAGUUUGAUCAUCUAAAAGUGAAGAAUGCUUAAUUCUAAGGUUCUUUCCAGCACUCAGGUUUGUUCAUUCUACAAAUUUCAUUGUCAAACUGACUCCUCCCAAUUAAAAAUAUGUUUAGAGGGUAGUUGAGUUAAUAGAAUAUGGAUUAUUUUUUGCUUUAAGCACAUGCAUCGAUAUUCUCAGCCUUCUUUAUUUACUA